rnacentral:rRNA from 1 species
GAUGAACGCUGGCGGCGUGCCUAAUACAUGCAAGUCGAGCGAACAGACAAGGAGCUUGCUCCUUUGACGUUAGCGGCGGACGGGUGAGUAACACGUGGGUAACCUACCUAUAAGACUGGGAUAACUUCGGGAAACCGGAGCUAAUACCGGAUAAUAUUUCGAACCGCAUGGUUCGAUAGUGAAAGAUGGUUUGGCUAUCACUUAUAGAUGGACCCGCGCCGUAUUAGCUAGUUGGUAAGGUAACGGCUUACCAAGGCGACGAUACGUAGCCGACCUGCGAGGGUGAUCGACCACACUGGAACAGAGACACGGGCCAGACUCCGACGGGAGGCAGCAGUAGGGAAUCUUCCGCAAGGGGCGAAAGCCUGACAGAGCAGCGCCGCGUGAGUGAUGAAGGUAUUCGGAUCGUAAAACUCUGUUAUUAGGGAAGAACAUACGUGUAAGUAACUAUUCACAUCUUGACGGUACCUAAUCAGAAAGCCACGGCUAACUACGUGCCAGCCGCCGCCGUAAAAC